rnacentral:rRNA from 1 species
UACGUAGGAGACGAGCGUUGUCCGGAGUUACUGGGCGUAAAGGGCGCGCAGGCGGCCGCCCGCGUGUGUGGUGAAAGCUCCUGGCUUAACUAGGAGAGGUCCAAUGCAGACGGGGUGGCUUGAGCGUCGGAGAGGGGCAUGGAAUUCCGGGUGGAGCGGUGAAAUGCGUAGAGAUCCGGAGGAACACCAAUGGCGAAGGCAGUGCCCUGGCCGACGGCUGACGCUCAGGCGCGAAAGCGUGGGGAGCAAACAGGGAUUAAGAUACC